GUAUCUGAAGCCUGACGAGGAUGAGAACCUCCGGGGGCAAGAGGUUCGACCCGAGCGAAGCGAGAGAACGUUGCGUCAGCAACGGCCCGCAGUGGCAAGUCAUCCUCUGUCACCGGCCG
rnacentral:sRNA from 2 species